rnacentral:rRNA from 1 species
AGGUUCUGGCUAAUACCUGGGACUCAUGACGGUACCUGAAGAAUAAGCACCGGCUAACUACGUGCCAGCAGCCGCGGUAAUACGUAGGGUGCAAGCGUUAAUCGGAAUUACUGGGCGUAAAGCGUGCGCAGGCGGUUAUGCAAGACAGAGGUGAAAUCCCCGGGCUCAACCUGGGAACUGCCUUUGUGACUGCAUGGCUAGAGUACGGUAGAGGGGGAUGGAAUUCCGCGUGUAGCAGUGAAAU